UUAGGUAUCUGGCAGGGGAAAUACCAUGAUCUUGCUCUUGAUUUUCUCAGGGCAAGGAACAUCUAUUCUAGUCCAGAUAUGCUGACCCCUGGGAUUUCCUGGGAAAUCUCAACUCCAUAAUUUGUGGUAAUGGGGGAUGGCUUUUACACUUUCCCUUG
ensembl:snRNA U1 U1 spliceosomal RNA